UGUACAUUGUCAUGGAUGGAAGGUGGGACUUUGCUGAGUCAAACAUGAAGCAAAUACGGCGAUGGUGGUGCCUGGUUCUUUUGAAGAACUUCCCCAUGCCGUAAGUGUCUUAAAUUGGGUUUAACGUUUCCUUUACAGUUCUGAAAUAAUUUGCCUCACUGUAACAAACUUGCCAAAAUGUAUUGAAAUAUUGAAAAUAUGUAAUGUAUGCCAUUUACUCACCAAGGUCUGCAGAGGAGCUUUCAGGAAGCAGGAAGAGAAGACGGGAGGUAAAAAAGCUAUUGGCAGGUACGUGUCAUAUACUGUAAUGUGUGAUGUUGUCUUAGAGCAAUUGUGAAAGACUAUAGUCUUACCACCCUCCCACCACUAAUACAUUUCAGGAUAAAGAUAUCUGCACAAAAAGGGCUAGAGUUGCUCCAACAGCAUCCAGCUCUGAAGGAUCAGACAAAACUGAAGACCAGGAACUGGAACCUGGGAACCUGGAAGAGGAUGUUGUCCUGAAGGACACGAUUCAGGCAGCAGCAUGGUGCCACGUACAGUCCUUCAAGGACAGCGUCUCUCUCCCAGAGGUCAUUGGGAUGGAAGGUUGGGAGCAGAGGGCAGCAUCAGUACAGCGCAAAUCCCAUGACGGCGGGGAUGAGGAAGAAGCAUGGCAACCAUUCCGAUUCUCAUUCCAAUUACAAACUGACUAUGAACUCUUCUGUGUGGAGAUGAUGGACAGGAGAAACCUGAAGGUGUUUGCCUCUUUCGAGUCAAACACCUCUCCCCCUCCCCCCUCCCCGUGACGCCUGCGCCACACGACUCCAGUAGUCUGAUGAUGCAGCAUAAUGGUGGCGCUUGGCAGCUAUGGCGGCGGUGACGGCGAUGUCGGGCGACGAAGCGAGAGUGGCGUCCACCUCACUGAGGAAGGCGUCAGUGUGUUCCCCCCCCGUUGAGACUUUGUU
ensembl:lncRNA